rnacentral:rRNA from 1 species
GACGAAGGAUGCAAGCGUUAUCCGGAUUCAUUGGGUUUAAAGGGUGCGUAGGCGGACUGAUAAGUCAGUGGUGAAAUCUCUCAGCUUAACUGAGAAACUGCCAUUGAUACUGUCGGUCUAGAGUACAGAUGAUGUGGGCGGAAUAUGACAUGUAGUGGUGAAAUACUUAGAUAUGUCAUAGAACACCGAUUGCGAAGGCAGCUCACAAAACUGUAACUGACGCUGAGGCACGAAAGUGCGGGGAUCAAACAGG